UUGGAAUGGGUUUUGGAAUGUGGAUUGUGUCAGAUCAUUGGCAGACUGCUGCCAGGCUAGGCAUGCAUAUACGGUCGGGGAUACACCUAUUUGCACCCUAGGCGUACAUGUUUGGCCCAUCGGCCUGCUCUUGUUCCCUCGCUCACAUGUCAUGCACCAAGUUUCUUGGCCCAUUGUUAUUCGUUUGAAUCAGCACAGGAAGGAGAAUCUCGUCGUCCACCUCUCCCCAAACCACCACCCCCGUGGAAGAAGCCCCAGCCACGGAACAGACUUGCCUCUCUGCCCUAUUUUCUCUCCCCUCGGGCGACGGCGGCGGGGUGCUGCCCGGCGAGAUGUCCACCAGACGCCGGGUUUGGGCUCUCCGGAGCACUCGUCCUCUUCCACUCCGGCGGCCAAAUCACCCGGAUCCCGCAUCACCUUCCACUUCGGCGGCGGCUCGACUCAAGUUUGCAGAACACCGGAUCUGCCCAGGGCAAGGCCCUCGUCUACGGAUCUGUCCGGGAAAAAUCAUUUUCUUCAUUGUUUCGAUCGGUGAGGCUGGAUCACACAUCAAUUACUUGUGCUUUUCUCCUAGCUGUUGUUCAUCUGUUUUAGAUUUGCUCUUUUUUGGUGAUUUUUAUUUUGUUCCAUCUAUUCCUUUGGUACGGGUGAUCUAGCUGUAUGGCUCGAUCGAGAUGCAUAUCACUUCUGUUGUUGAAUCCAAAAAUAGACUGCUUUUUUUAUUGUAAUCCCCUUCCAUCUAUUCCUUAUGUGCAGAUGCGAUUUUCUUUUGUUUGCUUGUAAUCUCCUUCGUCUGAACUAGAUAAGUCUCUCCUCAUCCUGUUGCUGCGCAGAUCCGAAUUUGCCGUGAUGUUUGUUUAGACAAUAUAGAGAUUUUUUUUGUUCAUACCCAUGCUUAUGUGCCAGAUCGGCUUAUUUUUCUGAUGUCUUGAGGAUUCCUCUAACUUGGAUAAUCGAUGCUUAAUCCUGCUGGAACUUAAUGAUGGAUUUGAUGUUCUGUUCUUGAGCUAAUCCAAGGUUCAUAAUUAUUUCAUUCAACUGGGGUAAAGUUUGAAUUCCUACCAUUGAUUGCAAAGAUUUUCUGUUCCAUGGAUUUCAGUUUGUUUCGUUGACCCCUUUUCCACCGGAGUCAUAGACUUGAGCAACGCUGAAGAUCAAGUGUGUCGUGGCGGCCAGGCCGCAUCCCUUGCCGGAAAUGCUGGUUGAGCUACAAGUGGUUGGACUAGAAGGUGUUUUAGAUUAAAAUGUUCUCAUCCAAAAAACCUUUAAUUCUGAACAUAGUAUGUGUCGGCCUUGUUCUUUGUUAGAUUUUGAAUAUAACCACAUUUCUCUCCUGAAAUCAGUAUCAUACAAGAUCGAAUUUCGUGGCUUCCGUGUCCCUUGUGCGAGAAACAUUCUCUGGGUUAGAUAUUUAGGAAAAAAUAUAUAUGAUGAUGCAUUUGUGUUCUA